CUGUGAAACAAGAAAGUCAUUUUGUCUACGCUUGUGUCUGUGAGAGGAGAAGAGCAAGAUGAGUUUUCCAAGUGAGUGUUAUCAGUUCUUUAGGGGGUGGGGUGGAGAGAUGAGUCAUGAGUCACACCACAGGAAAACCUCCACAUUUCAGAGGCCGUUCCAGAAUGAAGAUGUUCAAGCAAUGCUGCAAUGAAGAUUAUGUAGGAUCCCUAACUCACCAACUGAAGCAUAUUGAGAACUGAUUAUUACUUCCCGGGUUUGCUGUCCUGCAGGUCCAGACAACUCUUACUGGCAUACUGAGUU
rnacentral:lncRNA from 1 species